rnacentral:rRNA from 1 species
AUUGAACGCUGGCGGCAGGCUUAACACAUGCAAGUCGAGCGGAGUGAUGGUGCUUGCACUAUCACUUAGCGGCGGACGGGUGAGUAAUGCUUAGGAAUCUGCCAUUUAGUGGGGGACAACAUUCCGAAAGGAAUGCUAAUACCGCAUACGUCCUACGGGAGAAAGCAGGGGAUCUUCGGUCCUUGCGCUAAAUGAUGAGCCUAAGUCGGAUUAGCUAGUUGGUGGGGUAAAGGCCUACCAAGGCGACGAUCUGUAGCGGGUCUGAGAGGAUGAUCCGCCACACUGGGACUGAGACACGGCCCAGACUCCUACGGGAGGCAGCAGUGGGGAAUAUUGGACAAUGGGCGGAAGCCUGAUCCAGCCAUGCCGCGUGUGUGAAGAAGGCCUUUUGGUUGUAAAGCACUUUAAGCGAGGAGGAGGCUACUAGUACUAAUACUACUGGAUAGUGGACGUUACUCGCAGAAUAAGCACCGGCUAACUCUGUGCCAGCCGCCGCAGUAAUAC